GGCUUUGGGCCUGUAGCUCAGGUGGUUAGAGCGCACGCCUGAUAAGCGUGAGGUCGGACGUUCAAGUCGUCCCAGGC
rnacentral:tRNA from 1 species